rnacentral:sRNA from 1 species
AAUUAACCUGUAAGCCUCACCUGCCUAGGAAUUGGAAUGCUGGGAAUUGUAGUUCUUGGAAAAUAAAAAUCCCUUCAACACAUGGCUUGAGGCCAUCACAGCUGGGAAAUUCCAGGGAAUGAUCCUGACCAAAGUCCAUCUCUUGGUCAGAAUCUAACAUUUAAUAAAGCUUGUUUCACAUUUGGCCCAAGAUGGUGGAAUUGGCAUUUCUCUGGAGAAUCUCAGGAUUAAUGGGAUCCGCGGUGGCCCAGUCUCACCAAAAUAAAGAACGACACAGCACAAACCUCUCACACACUGUGGCAGUUGUUUCCUGCUUCGUAAAUGGGAUUCCAGAACUUUCCAAUGCCUGUUACACUUUGGAAAUGGGUAGCCUGCUAUGGCCGGACAAGAAGAUCAAGAUGUGAGCUCUCAACCCUUCCUGCCGCCAUAACUUUGCUUCACCAUCGUGGACUCUAACCCUCUGAUACAAAUGUUUUAUCCUGGAAAUGUCAACUCACACAGCCACAUGCUUCUCUCACCUGAGAUUCCCCUGCCUAAGCUCGACCCUGGAGCUGGACUCAACCUGUGGGAUUUUAAAGAGAGGAAAAGCCCAGGUGGGAGUUGCAUGACUGGAGCCCGGGAUGUCUAGCCACUAGAAAUGAAGGGAAACCCAGGAUGGGAAUCAUAAUAAGCCACAGAUGUGACAUCAAGCCUGCUGGAUGAUUCAUCAGCUUCCACAGCUGGCUUCUCAGUCUGCAGGCGCUCCGGGUCACUUCCAUGUGCUGAAGGAGGACGCAUCCUUCCUACUCUUUCUCUCUGAGCUUUGGAAAUCUGCCAGAAAGGCCUGAUGGCAGCCUUAGGAGCUGUAUGGGCAGCACCAGAGGAGUCCUUAGCCAAAAGCUCCAAGCUCUUCUGGGGAUCAAUGAGCCUCAUCUGUUGGGCCUUACUCAAAGGUAGCCUUUCCACCAAGAUAAUUGGUUUAGCACAAAGGAGCCAUUGUGGUCUAGACCUCACAGUUGAUUGCUGGGUUAAGAUAAGUGUGGCUCUCUCCUUCUUUCCCCCUGGAGGCCUCAGGGAGUCAAGUACUUUUGACCAUGUGAAACAGAUAUCCUCCUUCCCAUUGAGAAUGAUGUGGGUGCAGGGGAGGAAGGGAGAUGUGAGCAUCCACUGUUCCACGGUUAGCAUGUGUUUUUACCCCUCAUCUUCACACAAGCUGCAGACAUCUCCUCUCACCAGAGAGUUGAGGACAAUGUAGUGAUCAAAGGCCCUCCAGAUAAGUGGAAACUCUGCCCCUCAAAUAAUUUGAUGACCCAAACUAGCCCAAUUAACAGCAUUCCUCUUCAAAGCAUUUUCUCCUCUCAUGUUCUUAUGUAUCUAUAUAUGUAUUUUUCGAUUCAAAUUAAUUACAGAAGGUACAGAAAAUAAAUACCAUACAAAUAGGAAACUUGAAAUCAGAGACAAUUGCCAUUAGUAAUUUUAUACAUCUUUAAAGCUUUUAUUAUUUUUUAGCUUAUUAUAUUUAUUAUUCUUAAUAAUAAAUUUUUUUUCUUCCACCAAACCUUCCCAAGCCUUUUCCUACUCCUUCUCAAAUUCAUAGCAGCCUUUUCUUAUACAUGGCCUUGGCUUAACAACAACACAUCAUGUCUGACUUUCCACACAAAAGGUUACACAUUUUCUUUGGCUGCAGCCCUACAAACUGCAAAACCUAGGUACCAUCCUAUAUCAUCAGGCUCCUUGUUACAUUCAGCCACAUCUCAACAACUGUCGUUCAUGCAGCAGUAAGCCAAAUUCUCUCCUCAAGAUAAAUUGCCAAAGCUCAAAAUAAACACUAAUUUAAGGCUUUGGAAAUACCUUUCCAGAGAAAGAUGGUAUUCACUAAUAGUUUCACUAGCGCUGAAAAGGGGCAUAAAGACCUUUCAAAAGAACAGAGCAAACUGAAGAGUCCCCACAUAGCACUAACAGAGCCAGCAAGCCGGGUUUCUCUGUCUCGUCAUAACCUGACUCUCAAUAUACUGACGUCAGGACUUAAUCAUUCACACCAGAAGAUGUAAACGAUUCUCCCUCUGGUGUCCUCAUCUCAAAGUUGUGAGGCGAGACAGUCGUAGAGACAGUUGAUAUCCUAGAGCAGUGGCCAGCUCACAAUGAUCUGAACAACAUUGCUACUGUGUAGAACAUAGGAUGAAAGCACAGACAAGAUUUUCAUGGUAUAAAAGCCCACACGUCUAAGGUACAGACUUACAUGCGAAUCUAACACAAUUCAUUGCUUAAAUGGCAGCUCUUGUCUGGUUGCUUUAUAAAUCUCAAACUUCUCUGAUCCCAUAGAAAUCCUAUAACAAGAAAGAUGAUGUUUUGAUCCUAGUAUUUUUUUCCAGACCAGGCUAAGUACUUUGUUAGAGUUAGACUCCCUGUGUCUAACCACAAAGCUGCUUUGCCCACUAGAUGUCCCCCAUCCCACUAAAAUUAUUCUCAACAGUGUCCGCAUCCAGGGACACUGAAAGGUCCAUUCUCCAGUAAGCAGGAAACACACUAUCCCACUGGGAGAGCCACAGAAAGAAACAUGAAGAAAACAACAUUGCCCACAAAAAUGAAAAAGAAAAAGAAAACCACUUCAUACCCAAAAUAACUAAAAUGACUUUAGAUAGUAAUGUACUCCCCGCAUCCAGUUUACUCUUGGUCUCACUCGUCAUUCAUCAACUUCGGUUACCCCAUUUCCUGCAGAGACCUAUCUGCUCCUUCAAUAACUAGAGCUGGGAAAUUGAAGUUCUUUGACAGUUUGACAUAUGUCAUAGCUUUCAGUCUGUAAAACAACCAGUUUGAAGGUUCUGGGGUUCAAUAAGUCAGAGCCAGAAUCUGAGCACGAUGGUUUGCCUGACGUCUCCUCUCUAUUUUCAACUCCAUGCUUUUGUGAGCUUCCAACUGGCAUGGAAAUCAUGCAUAAAUUUACAGAAGAUAAGCAGACACGUUGAAAGACAUAAGUAUGUAGGGGCAUUGGUUAGGCAGAUCUGAUGGAUAGUCGACUCACAUAUAAUGUUACAUGCAUUUGAAAUUCAGCCGCCUGAUAAACUUUCCCCCACAAUUCAAGACCUUGCUUUAUUUCUAAACUUUAGACAACUUCUUAUUCCAUGAGCAAUAGAAUUUGUUCUUAAAUCUCACCACAACUUGCCUUCUUGUCUCUCUGCACUUGAUGGAAAAAUCAAACCCAUUGUUGCAUUGUUUAUUGAUAUGCCCACUCACACAAGUGAGCCUGUGCAGGCCUCUUCUGCUCUGCUGCGAAAACAGCCUGAGGCUGACUCUCUCAUCCUAAAAACAUACACAUGUGUGUGCACGCACACACAUACCCUGACUCCCCCCCACCUCCCCACACCUUACACCUACGUACACAAACCAUUUGCAAUCCUACAUUCCUCUGGACCUCAGAUGACAAGCUAUCACCACUCCUUACAGUCUUUCAACUUUAAAAUCUCUGCCCUGUGCCAUUGUAUUUUUAAUGGUCUGAGUGUUGAGUCCUGAAAAAUUCAGAUGUCACAAUCCUAAUCACCAAUGUGAAAUUCAAAGACAGGGCCCUUUAACGUGUAGCUAGGUCAAGAGGUGGAGGCCUCACAAAUGAGGAGUCCAUCCUUUUUAUAAGACAGGCUGAGGCCACCUGUAGCUCCUUCCCCCAUAUGAGGAUUAGAGAAGACUGUCUACGAGGGUGUAGCCCUCAGAGAUAGCAAUGGUCAGCUCCUUGAUGGUAGACUUUCCAGGCCCCAGAGCCAUGUGGAGCUUGUUUCUGCAUCUGUUUCUCAGUCAAUGGUAUUUUGCUAUAACAGUGCAGUCUUAAUGCAUUUUCCAGAGCCUCACACACUAACCCAGCUUCAAUAAAUCUUAGCAUUUACCUCUUUAUCAAGGUAAUAAACUAUUAUAAAUAUAGCAGAAACUUUCAUAUACCACCUCUUAACCCCUUCUAUCUCCCCCCACAAAUGUUUAUGUCACACAUGACUUACACCUUUUAUUAAGUGCACACAUUUUAAUGAGUGAUAUUUAAUCUUCCAGUACUCUUAUUAAACAUCCUUUUUCAAUAGCACCAUUGUUAAAACUUUCAACAUUGCUUCCGAGAUUUACUUUCAUGAGAUAUGUAAGAUUAGAUGGCCACACUUGGAUGGGAUGUCCCUGUGUGUUCAUGUCACAUUGUGUCCAUGCAGCUGCUGAAAUCAUUUCCAUUUAAUCUCUGUCUUCAUUCCUUUCUAAGUUUUCAUCAUCCCCAGCCUGAGUCAUCACGGAAGCCUGUUGUAUGUUCUUUAAGAUGGCAUACAAAGCCCUCUGGACUUGGCUUGUCUCACCUUUGCACUGUCCUACCCUUUGAUUGGCUCUAUAUAAAUGCCUUUGUUGCCAGCGCGCUUAAUUCUCACUGUCCCUUCCACCUGUCAGGUUUCAUCCUGUCUGAUACUCCCCCAGAUCCGUGUAUGACUGACCACCCAACUUUUCACUUUCCAGGAUCAACUGUCUUCCUCUGAUAGACCUACCCUGUGUGUUCUCUCUAUAGGACUCCAGAGUCCUCGCCUUGUCCCUGUUUCUGUCCUCGGCACUCUCACAACUGUCACGCAUCCAUACAUCUUGUUCAUUUGCAUACAGUUUACUGUCUAACUUCCCACCAAAAUGUACAUUGUAUGAGAGCGAGUCCUGCUUAUCUACCGCCUUAGCGUCUUUGACAGUUUCUGAUCCUGAUUGGUUGGUUUGUAAUUAGAAGGAAGGACAAGAAAUGGACAAAGGCUAGAGCAAUUGAAUAAACAAAGGAAUGAGAGUUCAACCCAGAGGCAUGAGUUCUUUUGGGGACUUAGCUUCUGGCCUUUCUUAGCUUGACCGAUGCCAUAAAACAGCACUGACUGGGUAGUUCAAGCAGGAGGAGUUCAUUAGCACAAGUUCUGGAGGUUUAAAGUCCUAUUUCAAGGUACCAGCAUGACCAAUUUCUGACGAAGCUUCUCUUCGUGGCUUCAUCUCAGUAUUCUCAAUGCCAGGAGUUAAUUGGUUUGUAUAAAAGGCCCUAUUCUCAUUACCUUAUCCAAUUCUAAUUACCUUUGAAGUGCCCGUCUAUAAAUUCCACCAACUGAGGGUUAGGGCUUUAAUGCAUAGGUCAGAGGAGUAUAGUUCAGUUCUCCCUCUCUCUUCCCUCUGUGGGCCCAAGAAUGAUCAUUUUUAUAAGUAGUUUUCAGUAAAGUGCUCACAUCUCCUUUGCUCCUCCCUGCUGUCCUGUGUACUUGUAAUAUUUUCCAGUGCCUACUUGGCUGCCACCCACAUUCAAUAUUGUGAAGUCCGUGAGGAUUUGCCAACCCUUCAUCAUGUUACGUCUGGUACAAUGACUGGCAGGUAGAAAGGAUAUAAGUAUGCACUGAUUGAAUAAAAAAUUCUUGAGAAAAUCCUACCACCUAAGAAGGCACUAAAAUAUGACUAAGGUCACUAAUAUUUAUAUUCUGAGGCACAUAAGAACUACUCAGAGCAGUAGUCCCAAUAAAAAUGUCUGCUUGUCAUUCAUUAUCAUGGCAUUAAGGCUCCAUAUGAGUUCUAAGACAGUCUAUAUGGAUUGCUUAUAUUAUUAAAUUAAAUUAUAGUAUUAAAUCACCAUAGACUGAGCCACCUACAUAAUAGAAUUUUAUUAUCCCACAUGUCUAGGGAACACUGUGAGGUAAGUUGGCAGGGUCGGGGCCUCCUGAGGGCCCUGAGGUGCCUCGUGACCUUAUACAUGGUCAUCUAUUGCUUUGUCAUCCUUCAUUGCCCACCCUAUAACCAUCCGUGUCAGCUUUCUAUAAGACAGAAGUGUACUGGGUCAUCUAUCAUCAUCUAUGUCCAAUGUCUGUCUAUAAGACAGUAGUUGUACUGACUUGAGACCACCAUGGUGAGCUCAUGGUCACUAAUUACCACUCUAAAGAUUCUGUAUCUGAAUGUAGUCUCAGAUGAGUGUCCCAUUAAUUAAGACUUUUAAUGUAGAGAAUUAGAUGGAGAUAGUAUUGGGCCUCUAGCACAAUUUUGCCAUGAAAAUGAGAAAAACAAGAGGCAAGGGGUACAAGCCAUCAGACAAAAGCAAGGAGAAAAGAGACACCCAAAAACCCCGAAGAGAAGGAGAGAGCAUACCUGCAGGAGUUAAAUACAGAAGGGGGGGGGAAGUAUGCACAGGAGAGAAAAAAAAAACAACAAAGUAGAAGACAGAGACUAAACAAAGACAGAACCAACUCGUGUUAAUGAACAGGGGCUUGGGCAAAAUGCUUGGGUAUAUUUAGAACAGCCAAUUUAAAGGAGCAGGAAAGGCUAUAAUACGUUUUAUAAAGCAGUCCUUCAAUUGUGGCCAUGUGGUUUCAAAGAUUGCUUCUUAGAAGGUAAGCCUCUAGGCACAUGAAAAUCGUUAGCUGCUUAAAAAGAGUUGGCUUCCACUGAUCCGAUGGCUUCCGGUGGCUUGCAUUGCAGAGUAAGCCACCUCCCAUCACAGAGCAGAAAAGGAGGACAAUAUACCGGGAGUUAAAAAUUAA